rnacentral:rRNA from 1 species
CAUCCUUGAUCGGGAGGUCCGGGUAAUCUUUUGAAACUUCAUCGUGCUGGGGAUAGUCCCUUGCAAUUUUUGGACUUUAACGAGGAAUUCCUAGUAAGCGUGAGUCAUCAACUCGCGUUGAUUACGUCCCUGCCCUUUGUACACACCGCCCGUCGCUACUACCGAUUGAAUGGCUUAGUGAAUCCUUCGGAUUGGCUUUCUUUUCUGGCAACAGAAUUUGAUCGCUGAAAAGUUGGGCAAACUUGGUCAUUUAGAGGAAGUAAAAGUCGUAACAAGGUUUCCGUAGGUGAACCUGCGGAAGGAUCAUUAAAAAAUGAGACCUCUUUUGAAGGUCUAUUAAUAAUCCUACCCUUUGUGAAUUUGUUGUUUGAAAUAAUUUUUUUUCCAAAAAAAUUAUUGAAUGUCUUUCCCUGUUUGGUGGAGCUUGUAAAAGUGAAACCAUCAGGGGAAUGGCAAACAAUAAUUAUUUUGAAAAAAGACCUUUUUUUAAAAUUAAACUUUUAUGUAUUCAUUUGUCUAAAAUUAUUUUUAUAAUAUAAAAACAACUUUUGACAAUGGAUCUCUUGGUUCUCGCAACGAUGAAGAACGCAGCAAAAUGCGAUAAGUAGUGUGAAUUGCAGAAUACGUGAAUCAUCGAAUCUUCGAACGCAUAUUGCAC